rnacentral:lncRNA from 1 species
CCUGCCUCAGCUUCCCAAGGAGCUGGGAUUACAGAGACGGGGUUUCACCAUAUUGGGCAGGCUGGUCUCGAACUCCUGACCUCAAGCGAUCCACCCGCCUUGACCUCUCGAAGUUCUGGGAUUACAACUGUGAACCACUGCACCCGGCCCAUAAGUUAUUUAAAUGAUGGAAAAAUUCUAUAAAGAGAAAAUUCCACCUCCUCUACUGUUAGUGGUGAAGCUCACAUAAGAAAGAGCCAGCUGAGAGUCUGUCAAGGGGAGACCCAAAACCAGAGAAACUCCUUUUCUUCUUUGUCUCAAUCACAUCAUUUUCUAGGGACACCAAUUCAUCAAGAAGCAAGAGUUUUGCUGUCAGUUCCUCCUGCAUUCAUUCUUCCUGCUGCCUUGUGAAGAAGGUGCCUUGCUUCCCCUUUGCCUUCCACCAUGAUUGUAAGUUUAACGAGGACUCCCCAGCCAUGCAGAACUGUUCACAACCUUGAAUGGCAUGUUGGCAAUAAAAAGAAGACAAUAAAAAAAAAAAAAAA